rnacentral:sRNA from 1 species
UAUCCUGCAGAAUCGGGAUUGAAUAACC